rnacentral:rRNA from 1 species
AGAGAUUGAACAUAAGAGUUUGAUCCUGGCUCAGAUUGAACGCUGGCGGCAUGCUUUACACAUGCAAGUCGGACGGCAGCACAGGGAAGCUUGCUUCUCGGGUGGCGAGUGGCGAACGGGUGAGUAACAUAUCGGAACGUACCGGGUAGCGGGGGAUAACUGAUCGAAAGAUCAGCUAAUACCGCAUACGUCUUGAGAGGGAAAGCAGGGGACCUUCGGGCCUUGCGCUAUCCGAGCGGCCGAUAUCUGAUUAGCUGGUUGGCGGGGUAAAGGCCCACCAAGGCGACGAUCAGUAGCGGGUCUGAGAGGAUGAUCCGCCACACUGGGACUGAGACACGGCCCAGACUCCUACGGGAGGCAGCAGUGGGGAAUUUUGGACAAUGGGCGCAAGCCUGAUCCAGCCAUGCCGCGUGUCUGAAGAAGGCCUUCGGGUUGUAAAGGACUUUUGUCAGGGAAGAAAAGGCUGUUGCCAAUAUCGGCGGCCGAUGACGGUACCUGAAGAAUAAGCACCGGCUAACUACGUGCCAGCAGCCGCGGUAAUACGUAGGGUGCGAGCGUUAAUCGGAAUUACUGGGCGUAAAGCGGGCGCAGACGGUUACUUAAGCAGGAUGUGAAAUCCCCGGGCUCAACCCGGGAACUGCGUUCUGAACUGGGUGACUCGAGUGUGUCAGAGGGAGGUGGAAUUCCACGUGUAGCAGUGAAAUGCGUAGAGAUGUGGAGGAAUACCGAUGGCGAAGGCAGCCUCCUGGGAUAACACUGACGUUCAUGUCCGAAAGCGUGGGUAGCAAACAGGAUUAGAUACCCUGGUAGUCCACGCCCUAAACGAUGUCAAUUAGCUGUUGGGCAACUUGAUUGCUUGGUAGCGUAGCUAACGCGUGAAAUUGACCGCCUGGGGAGUACGGUCGCAAGAUUAAAACUCAAAGGAAUUGACGGGGACCCGCACAAGCGGUGGAUGAUGUGGAUUAAUUCGAUGCAACGCGAAGAACCUUACCUGGUUUUGACAUGUGCGGAAUCCUCCGGAGACGGAGGAGUGCCUUCGGGAGCCGUAACACAGGUGCUGCAUGGCUGUCGUCAGCUCGUGUCGUGAGAUGUUGGGUUAAGUCCCGCAACGAGCGCAACCCUUGUCAUUAGUUGCCAUCAUUCGGUUGGGCACUCUAAUGAGACUGCCGGUGACAAGCCGGAGGAAGGUGGGGAUGACGUCAAGUCCUCAUGGCCCUUAUGACCAGGGCUUCACACGUCAUACAAUGGUCGGUACAGAGGGUAGCCAAGCCGCGAGGCGGAGCCAAUCUCACAAAACCGAUCGUAGUCCGGAUUGCACUCUGCAACUCGAGUGCAUGAAGUCGGAAUCGCUAGUAAUCGCAGGUCAGCAUACUGCGGUGAAUACGUUCCCGGGUCUUGUACACACCGCCCGUCACACCAUGGGAGUGGGGGAUACCAGAAGUAGGUAGGGUAACCGCAAGGAGCCCGCUUACCACGGUAUGCUUCAUGACUGGGGUGAAGUCGUAACAAGGUAGCCGUAGGGGAACCUGCGGCUGGAUCACCUCCUUUCUAGAG